GCCUUGGUCUUGUGGCUAUCCUGCUAUGGUAGCCAAUCAUGCAUAUAUUGGUAAAUGUAAAUAUAUUUAUAAAAUAAUUUUUAUUUUAAUCUAGCACAUAAUAUAAUAUAUAUGCAUUGUUAAUUGGUUGUGUUAUAGUGUUCUUUACAAGUAGGUACGGUUGAAUGUGGAUAUUAUGUCAUGAGAUACAUGCAAGAAAUUGUGACUAAGGACACAAACAUUAUCACUGAUGCGGAAGCCCAUACACACAGCUUGAAUUGGAUAGACGAGGGGAGUGGGCUGGAUUUUUAGCUCGGUACAUAUGAUAGACACACUUAGAUAUGAUCAUGUUAAUUUUGUAAAUGGCUAAGAUAUGGGAAUGCUCAUAACCUUUUUUGUGGAAACGUUUUGUUCAUAGCCAUUAUGAGGGCAAAAGAUAUAUGGGGAUAGGCUUCAAUUUUGAUUAUAUAAGACAACUAUUAUCAUUUAAUAUUUUGGAAUAGGACACAUAUAGGAAAUUUUAGUUGGCUAUAUUAGAUUGGAAUUGUGUAAUUGUUGAUGACAUUGUUGAGAAUAAUGAAAUUAUUGUUGGUUUACAUAUUA